CAAGUAUGCAUCUGACAUGAUUAUUAUGCAUAAACAUUCAGAAAACAAGGGGAAGAAAAAAUCCAAGACUAUACUACAAAAAGGAAGGAUAUUUUUGUGAUAGAAAGGCAGAAUUUUUUGGGGGACCAUAAAAUGGGAACUCAAGUGGGGUUAUCUGAUCAUCAGAAAACGGUCUUCACAAUCAACUGAUCUAGCUACUAGUAGAUCAGAAAUACAAGAGUUGGAGGAGAGAGUUGGUGGUUAAUGACUUAAAUCAUAAGGUAAUCAUUCUUUCGGUUUGGAAUUAAUAGUCAUAUGUACACUUAGGGCCUAUUCCGAUUUACUGAAAAAAACUGAGCUGAUCUGUUAUGAGAGAAAGAAAUUAGGAACGAAACUGAAUUGAAUAGAAAUUAAGCUGAAUAAAAUAGACCCUUAUUUUGAAAUA